GCACAAGCGGUGGAGCAUGUGGUUUAAUUCGACGCUACGCGAAGAACCUUACCAGGGCUUGACAUCUGCGGAACCCCGCUGAAAGGCGGGGGUGCCCGCAAGGGAGCCGCAAGACAGGUGGUGCAUGGCUGUCGUCAGCUCGUGUCGUGAGAUGUUGGGUUAAGUCCCGCAACGAGCGCAACCCUUGUCAUUAGUUGCCAUCAUUUGGUUGGGCACUCUAAUGAGACUGCCGGUGACAAACCGGAGGAAGGUGGGGAUGACGUCAAGUCCUCAUGGCCCUUAUGGGUAGGGCUUCACACGUCAUACAAUGGUCGGUACAGAGGGUUGCCAACCCGCGAGGGGGAGCUAAUCCCACAAAGCCGAUCGUAGUCCGGAUCGCAGUCUGCAACUCGACUGCGUGAAGUCGGAAUCGCUAGUAAUCGUGGAUCAGCAUGUCACGGUGAAUACGUUCCCGGGUCUU
rnacentral:rRNA from 1 species